rfam:Gemmatimonadetes bacterium 13_2_20CM_70_9 13_2_20cm_scaffold_8226, whole genome shotgun sequence.
CGUGGUGAUUUGCCGCGUAUUGCCGCCACGUUAAACAAGGUGCUAAAAAG